GUUGGAUUGGGGUGAUUGGUUGAUGAACACCGAAAUAGAGGUCCGAGUUUAGCUUCUUCUUCUUUUUUAAAUUUAUUUUUUAUGUUUUCUUGCUUUCUACUUUUAGACUAGCCUACUAAUUUAUAUUUUAAGCCUUUCAAGUUCUCCAUUAUUGCCUGCUUUCUACUUAUAGUUUGGAUUCAAGCCUCUUGGUCUAGCCUUCACACCAG
rnacentral:lncRNA from 1 species